AUUGAACGCUGGCGGCAGGCCUAACACAUGCAAGUCGAGCGGAUGAAGGGAGCUUGCUCCUGGAUUCAGCGGCGGACGGGUGAGUAAUGCCUAGGAAUCUGCCUGGUAGUGGGGGAUAACGUCCGGAAACGGGCGCUAAUACCGCAUACGUCCUGCGGGAGAAAGUGGGGGAUCUUCGGACCUCACGCUCUCAGAUGAGCCUAGGUCGGAUUAGCUAGUUGGUGGGGUAAAGGCCUACCAAGGCGACGAUCCGUAACUGGUCUGAGAGGAUGAUCAGUCACACUGGAACUGAGACACGGUCCAGACUCCUAAGGGAGGCAGCAGUGGGGAAUAUUGGACAAUGGGCGAAAGCCUGAUCCAGCCAGGCCGCGUGUGUGAAGAAGGUCUUCGGAUUGUAAAGCACUUUAAGUUGGGAGGAAGGGCAGAAAGUUAAUACCUUGCUGUUUUGACGUUACCAACAGAAUAAGCACCGGCUAACUUCGUG
rnacentral:rRNA from 1 species